CCUACGGGGGGCAGCAGUGGGGAAUAUUGGACAAUGGGGGCAACCCUGAUCCAGCCAUGCCGCGUGUGUGAAGAAGGCCCUCGGGUUGUAAAGCACUUUCAGUGAGGAAGAACGCCUGGUGGUUAAUACCCAUCAGGAAAGACAUCACUCACAGAAGAAGCACCGACUAACUCCGUGCCAGCAGCCGCGGUAAUACGGAGGGUGCGAGCGUUAAUCGGAAUUACUGGGCGUAAAGCGCGCGUAGGUGGCUUGAUAAGCCGGUUGUGAAAGCCCCGGGCUCAACCUGGGAACGGCAUCCGGAACUGUCAAGCUAGAGUGCAGGAGAGGAAGGUAGAAUUCCCGGUGUAGCGGUGAAAUGCGUAGAGAUCGGGAGGAAUACCAGUGGCGAAGGCGGCCUUCUGGACUGACACUGACACUGAGGUGCGAAAGCGUGGGUAGCAAACAGGAUUAGAUACCCUAGUAGUC
rnacentral:rRNA from 1 species